rnacentral:rRNA from 1 species
GACGAACGCUGGCGGCGUGCCUAAUACAUGCAAGUAGAACGCACAGUUUAUACCGUAGCUUGCUACACCAUAGACUGUGAGUUGCGAACGGGUGAGUAACGCGUAGGUAACCUGCCUGGUAGCGGGGGAUAACUAUUGGAAACGAUAGCUAUACCCCAUAAUUAUUAUUUUUUCCUGGUAAUUUAUUGAAAGAUUCUAUUUCAUCCAUAACAGAAGGAACUGCGUUGUAUUAGCUAGUAGGUGAGGUAACGGCUCACCUAGGCGACGAUACAUAGCCGACCUGAGAGGGUGAUCGGCCACACUGGGACUGAGACACGGCCCAGACUCCUACGGGAGGCAGCAGUAGGGAAUCUUCGGCAAUGGACGAAAGUCUGACCGAGCAACGCCGCGUGAGUGAAGAAGGUUUUCGGAUCGUAAAGCUCUGUUGUAAGAGAAGAACGGGUGUGAGAGUGGAAAGUUCACACUGUGACGGUAUCUUACCAGAAAGGGACGGCUAACUACGUG